GAUGAACGCUGGCGGCGUGCUUAACACAUGCAAGUCGAACGGGACUAUUUCGAAGGAAGGCUUCGGCCGGAAUUUGGUUUAGUCUAGUGGCGGACGGGUGAGUAACGCGUGAGUAACCUGCCCUUCGGAGGGGGACAACAGCUGGAAACGGCUGCUAAUACCGCAUAUUCUGUUCUGAUCGCAUGAUCGGGACAGGAAAGAUUUAUCGCCGAAGGAUGGACUCGCGUCUGAUUAGCUAGUUGGUGAGGUAACGGCUCACCAAGGCGACGAUCAGUAGCCGGACUGAGAGGUUGAACGGCCACAUUGGGACUGAGAUACGGCCCAGACUCCUACGGGAGGCAGCAGUGGGGAAUAUUGGGCAAUGGGCGCAAGCCUGACCCAGCAACGCCGCGUGGAGGUAGAAGGCCCACGGGUCGUGAACUUCUUUUCCCGGAGAAGAAGCAAUGACGGUAUCUGGGGAAUAAGCAUCGGCUAACUCUGUGCCAGCAGCCGCAGUAACAC
rnacentral:rRNA from 1 species